AAAGCUCUUUCGGCCGGGAAGAAAUCGCAUCAGCUAAUACCCUGUGUGGAUGACGGUACCGGAAUAAGAAGCACCGGCUAACUACGUGCCAGCAGCCGCGGUAAUACGUAGGGUGCGAGCGUUAAUCGGAAUUACUGGGCGUAAAGCGUGCGCAGGCGGUUUAGUAAGACAGGCGUGAAAUCCCCGGGCUCAACCUGGGAACUGCGCUUGUGACUGCUAAGCUAGAGUACGGCAGAGGGGGGUGGAAUUCCACGUGUAGCAGUGAAAUGCGUAGAGAUGUGGAGGAACACCGAUGGCGAAGGCAGCCCCCUGGGCCGAUACUGACGCUCAUGCACGAAAGCGCCACGCCCUAAACGAUGUCAACUAGGUGUUGGGAGGGUAAAACCUUUUAGUACCGGAGCUAACGCGUGAAGUUGACCGCCUGGGGAGUACGGCCGCAAGGUUAAAACUCAAAGGAAUUGACGGGGACCCGCACAAGCGGUGGAUGAUGUGGAUUAAUUCGAUGCAACGCGAAAAACCUUACCUACCCUUGACAUGUCCAGAAGCUCUUAGAGAUUUGAGUGUGCCCGAAAGGGAGCUGGAACACAGGUGCUGCAUGGCUGUCGUCAGCUCGUGUCGUGAGAUGUUGGGUUAAGUCCCGCAACGAGCGCAACCCUUGUCGUUAAUUGCCAUCAUUUAGUUGGGCACUUUAACGAGACUGCCGGUGACAAACCGGAGGAAGGUGGGGCCAAGCCGCGAGGUGGAGCCAAUCCCAGAAAGCCGAUCGUAGUCCGGAUUGCAGGCUGCAACUCGCCUGCAUGAAGUCGGAAUCGCUAGUAAUCGCGGAUCAGCAUGUCGCGGUGAAUACGUUCCCGGGUCUUGUACACACCGCCCGUCACACCAUGGGAGCGGGUUCCGCCAGAAGUAGGUAGCCUAACCGCAAGGGGGGCGCUUACCACGGCGGGGUUCGUGACUGGGGUGAAGUCGUAACAAGGUAGCCGUAGGGGAACCUGCGGCUGGAUCACCUCC
rnacentral:rRNA from 1 species